CUCUGGCUCCUUUGUGUGAAACCUCUAAGGAGGAAUUCUGUUUCCAGGCCCAGGAGCAAGAUUUGGAAAGAUGGUGUGUGCUGCCAGGAAGGAAAGUUAAUGAGAGGUAUAAAAAUGGGAAACAAGAAGACAAUGAAGAAACAUGUUUACAAUUCUAAGAGGCAUUUGGAAGAAAGUACUCUGAGAGCAAGGAAGCAAGUUGGGCCGUGUGGAUUGACUGUGAUUUUAUGAAUUCCUGCUUCAAGGCAUGCUGGUGGGACAGAACAAAGCUAAGAAAACCAACUGUUCCAAUUUGUCCUGGCACGAGGGAUUCCCCAGGAUGUGGGAAUUUCAAUGAUAAACCCAGGAAAGUUUCAGUCAAAUGGGGGUGAUUGGUGCUGGUUAGGUGGAUCUUCAUGUUACCUGAAACCCAGUUUCUGGUCCUUCCUUAUGACAAGCUGAGGCACAAAAGUUGCAUGAUAGGACAAGGACAGGGAAUCAGAAGACAAAUUCAAUUCAGGCAAGUCAUCCUGGCAUGUGAACAUGGUGAGGCUGAGAAGUGGUCAUAUAACAUGUCCAAGGUCAUAUAGCUAAAGAACUGCAGAGGGUGAACAGCUGGCCUUCUGCCCUGCAGGCCUUGAUGUUUUGGUUUUUUUGACGAUCAGCGCCCUCUGGAGGUUAAAGCCAGAAAAGCAAAAGUAUGAGAAAAAGGGACAAAGUGUUUUCUGCCCUUGCUUCUUCCUAUUGAAGUCCCUGCCUCAAAGUACAUUAAAGACAGAAGCAGAGGAGAAACAAAAAAUUUUUUUCUAGUGUGACCUUAAGUAUGAACUGUCAUGGAAACACUGGCUAGUGAUUAAGAACCAAUUGGUUCCUUAAACCCAACUCCGAGAUGCUGGUUUGUUUCACAGGGUGGAUCUUCUGGUGUGCUUUUGGUCCUGUUUGGCUCAAGCAAAAGGAGCCUCAGAAACAACCCUUCACCAGGGGGAAGAACUUUGUCCCUUGACCCAGUAGUACAAAGAGCUGUUUUAGGCAAGACUGUGCAAAGUGAUGGCACAACCCUGACAGAGACAGCUUAGUGAUCUGGUGCCUGUGGUUAAUGCUGAGGGGCAGAAGUGGAAUUCCCAAUCUCAAAAUCUCCUUAUUUUUCUUCCCAGCAAGAAUGAUUUAGGUAGCUCAAAUGUAGCAAGUUUAGAAGACUUUGCUACUAGUGGGCCCUGACUUGAACAUCUCCUUGGUUGGCUGGGCUUUGAUUUUGUUCAGUAUCUCAAUCACUCUUUUGUGCCCACAAUUCUGAUACCUAGAUCUUUGCCUUUUUCCUGUGGCUGAGGUCUCUUUGAAUUGAUAACUGAAGCAUACAGACCACCCACAUCUCUCAACCCAUACCAUUUUUAGCAUGUUGUUUCCGCUCACAACUGCCAGCACCUGUGUCUGUUUGCUUGCCGGCUUCCCCUGGAAGCAGGAACACACUCUGGUCAUGUGCAUAGCAAGCCAGGAGUGCCAGGGAGUUAGUAUGCACCCCUUAGCAGCUGUGGCCGAUGACUGAUAGUAAUUCUGACAUAUCAUCCACAAGACGUCAGUAUAGUAUCAGACCCAGUCCAUCUAUCUGUCAGAUCAUAGUCAGAGGCAGUGCUUAGCAGGUUGUCCCCUACAGUUACCAAAAGCUUCAUAAGAGCAAAGAAUAAGGCCUCAGUGAGCACUCCAAACUCCAAUUCCCAUUACAGGGAAUGAUUCUCUAAAUCUCUUUGCUGUGAUGCUGGGCAAGAUGAAAUAGCAUUCAGUCUGAACAGAUCCAAAUUUGUUGGGUACCAAAAACUGUUUAGUCUCUUCCUUUCAAUCGUGGCACCCCAGAAUAUGUUUUGUAUUAAUUAUCUCUUGAUGUAUAACAAUGACCCCAAAUUUAGUGGCUUAAAAUACUGGCCAUUAUUAUCUCUCACAAUGACUCUGAGUAAGGAAUUCAAGAUUGGCUUUUCUGGGUGGUAGCUCAGGGUCUCUUAUCGGAUCUUAGUUGGAUGUUACCCAAGGCUCCAGUUAUUGAAAGGCAUGGUUGAAGCUUAGGAGCCACUCCCAAAGAUAUUUGUUCACAUGCCUGGCUAUAGGAGAGUGUCCCUAUUAAGUCUCUCUGCAAAGCUGCCUGAGCGCUCUCAUGGCAAGCAAGGUGGCUUCCUUCCCAAGAAUGAGCAGUCCAAGAGGUCAAGAUGAAACUGCAAUGCCUCUUCUGACCUAGCCUCAGAAAGCAUGCUCUACCGUUUGUUCUAUAUUCUGUUUGUCAUGCAUACCAGUCCUGAUCCAGUGUGGACCGAACUACCAAAAACAUUUAAAUUUUUUUUCUUAUCCAGAAAUUUCCUAUAAUGCUGUUUGCCACAAUGGGUAAUGCUGUAACCCUUUUUUCAGACAUUCUUUAACCCACAGUAAGGCUUUGCCUUGAUAUAGAGGCAAAAUUCUAGUAGCCUUCAGCCAAUGACUGGUAGUAAAUCUAAUAUAUCAGAACACAAAUACACCAGACCAGUAUAUCUGUAAGAUCAUAUGCAGAGGCAAUACUUAGUAGGUUUGUUCCUUAGAAUGAUUACAAGCAAACUUUAUGAUAAAGAGAUGGAAAUGUCUUAGAAAUAUACAUAUUGAUUUGCAUUUCAGCAACAACUAAGGGCUUUGCUUCUGGUAAGGGCUCUCAGUUGCCUCCCAGUUGGUUGGUUCUUUUCUAAAACUCUAAAAAUCCAUUACUUUAAUUCUCAGAGAUGUGAAGUCAUAACCUUGAGCCCAAGAAUCAGGCCAGAACAUGGUUUGAGAAUUGCUACCUGCAGGUGUUUUCUGGGCCAGGAAGCGGCUGCACAGUGAGGCCUUUUGUGGUGAGGGGAUUCCACUGGCCCAAUUGCUCACUCCCUGGAAGAAGAAGGUUCUACUACCUGAAGGACAGGACUUUCCAAAAUAAACAGGCAUUUCCUCCUGCCUCCAAUCCCUGAUCUCUGAACUGAGCCCCAAGUGCUAGAGAACAGAUGCGACCCAUGGAUGCCUUAUAAAGUACUAUCCAAUAACACUGCUCCUAAGGAACUUUUAUAUUCAUUAAGUUCCUGCUUCCAAAGGUCAUGUUCCCAGAAAUGAAAACAAACAAACAAACAACAACAAAAAAAAAAACAAAGAAAAAAUUGAGUGGGUGUCAUUGGAAGAAACCAGGGCAAAUGAAAUGAAAUGACAGCCAUUGGUAAGCCUUACUGAGCAGAUGUGGACAUAACUUGGAAUCACUUAUGUUAUGGGAAGAUGCCCUUUCAGCCAUUAAAAAAAUGAAUGGAUAAAUAAAUAAAUAACAAUGCUAUGGUAUGUUUGCUUCAUUGUGUAAGAUGUUAAAAUAUGCUUGCUACCUUUUAGCUGUCUCAAAAUAACCUCCUGUGGUAAAUGUUAUUUGCUUCUGCCCUGCACCCAAUUAAAAUGGAAAACCUUGUAUUUUCCCCUAUCUUACUUUAUUAAUAUUUUUUUCAUAGAGCUUAUCACCAUCUGGCAUUAUAUCUCAUGUCUAUAUACUUGUUUAUUUCCUUAUUGUCUAUGUGCACAUCUGAAAAGCAAGCCCUGUGAACACAGACAUUUUGCUAUUAUGCUCUUUGCCACAUUCCCAGAGCCUAGUAAAUAUUCCAUAAAUAAUUGUGGAAAGAAAACUUUUGCAUCAAGUGGGCUGUGACAGGUUAAAUGACUUCCACAAGCCAUGUGAGUCCACAUUUGAUUGCAUUUUCCAUUUCGCUGUGCUACCUCUCUGCUUCUGAGUCAAGAGCCAAAAGUCUAGAUUUUAGAAAAAUGGAGCCACCAAGUUGUAAAGCAAGAUAGCAGCAGCUCUCAGAUGAGACCCCAGGUCUUCUGAUGUUUGGUUCAUCAGCCUUGUUUCCCUAUUAUGGGAUAUGAGGUUCAUGCUGAGGUUAGAGACUGCGCUUUCAUCUUCCUGCUUUGUCCACCUGGCUGGUUGGGCUGUUCGUUCAUGGGUCUGUAAAUGCAAUUCAUGUAACUCAGCAUGGUGUGACCCGCCUUUCCCCAAGUCCCUUCCACAUGACCUCAAAGGCAAUAGCUUGGAAACAGUUACAUGUAACUACUGUGACUACUCAGAUGGUUUUAUCUAAAUUGCUACUUGGACAGAGCUUAUGUCUAAAGCUCUGAGCAAAGCAUCUGAAGCAGCACAGGGAGAAAGUACCAUGGAAGAGCAGGAGAGGACUUGUUUGUCUCAUUUAUGUGUUUUCAGCAUCAUUUGACAAUUCCUUAUCCAUAUCCAGUUUUACUAGUAAAGCUGAACCACCUGGUUUUCUCCUUCAUCUCUCUGCUCUUUUUCUGUCUUGAGAGCUGAACGUAGCUGUCAGGUUUCAGCACACCUUGUGAACACCCGAGAGCUUUGGUUGCUAAGUUGGGGAAGCUAUAGCAAUGACUCCCUUAUGGCCAUUUGCUUAUAGAGCCCAGAAAAACCAAAAGACAUCAGCUAGAAGUUGAUGCUCACAAGCA